rnacentral:rRNA from 1 species
AUUGAACGCUGGCGGCAUGCUUUACACAUGCAAGUCGAGCGGCAGCGCGGGGGCAACUCUGGCGGCGAGCGGCGAACGGGUGAGGAAUACAUCGGAACGUGUCCCGUAGUGGGGGAUAGCCCGGCGAAAGCCGGAUUAAUACCGCAUAUGCUCUACGGAGGAAAGCCGGGGAACCGCAAGGACCUGGCGCUAUGGGGGCGGCCGAUGUCCGAUUAGCUAGUUGGUGGGGUAACGGCCUACCAAGGCGACGAUCGGUAGCUGGUCUGAGAG